UUUUUUUUUUUUUUUUUUUUUUUUUUUUUUUUUUUUGAGUGAGCGAUAAAGAAAAGUCAGGAGACUGAAUCGGGAGACAGGAGCUUGAAUCCAAGGCUGGAAGAUGGUCCCCAUCAGUAAAGGGCUUUCCUUGCAAGCAUGAGGACCUGAGUUCAGUCUUUAGAACCCAUUACAAUGAUGGGCAUGGUGGUGCCUAGCAGGUAGUUGUUGGGGCUUCUUGGCCAGCCAGACUAACCUAACUGGCAGCCGCAGGAUAAUGAAAGAGCCUAUCUGAAUGACUGAAUCUGGGGUCAAUCCUGGCCUUCUAUAAGCAUGUACACAUGUAUAUACAUACAGCUACACUCCCACCAACAGCACCCAUACAGCUGGGAUCCUGUUCCUUCACUCAGAAGCAUUGCCACCAUAGACAAGGAACUCUGUGUAUCUGCUUGCUCCAGUCACAUUAUCUCCACUGGUGGGAGGCUUUUCGCGGAUACUGCUCAACCACUGAGUAAAUCCUUGACUCUGGGCUUCUCUCUUGUCUCAGCAUCAGUUCCUUUCUGGAACUUUCCAAUAAACCCUCCUUUUGACUUCCUCACCCCACCAAUAUAUAUGCAUGGCUUUUGUGUUCCCCUUAAGAGCAGAAACCCAGACCACCUCCACUCCACUCCGGAGGAGUCAGCAGGGAGUCUCUGGCUGGUUGUGCAGUGCUUUCCCUCUCAGACCAAGUAGGAUCUCCUUCUCUAGUUACUGAAGACAACACAAUUCUUUACUGAAUCUUGGGCAGUGUGCUGGUUCAGCCUCUUUGGGUUAGAGGUCUUCAGUCCCAGCAUCUAUAAACAGUAAGAGCAGUAGAUCUUAUGAGAAUGUUCUCCGUGCCCAGUCCUAAGCAGAGUUAACAGAUUUCAGUACAUUUUAGGUGUACCCUACAGACAGCCCAAAUCCUUAGGAAGCAAAUAAGAAUAUUACUGUUUCCGUUUUACAGUUGAGAACAUGAAAUUGAGAGAGGUCAGAUGAUGUUCCCAGGGCUACAGGCCAGUAAGUAUUAGAAAAGAAUUUAAACCCAGACAAAACACUGUACAUCAGAGCUCUAAUACUGGUCUUGGAGUGUCUCUGCGUGUGUGUCUCUCUCUCUCUCUCUCUCUGUCUCUCUCUCUCUGUCUCUCUCUCUCUGUCUCUGUCUCUCUCUCUCUCUCUCUGAGUCUGUAUUUUUGUUCACCCAUAGAUAUCAGAGGACAACUUUUGGGUGUCAAUUUAUCCAAUAUAUUAAAAGGAAAGUUUGCCACCACUCAACGGGUUUGGCUAACUUAGACUUCCCCCUACUAUUCCAUUGACUUGCAAAAUAUUUUUGCAACAAAAGCAUUUUGACUCCUACUGGACUCUUUUUCAGGAGCCUGGGUUGGAAGGUAGAUGAAAGCAGAGACUCUGCCUUUGAUGCAGGAGUGGAGGGCCUCAUCCCUGUCUGCUCCCCUCUCAUGCCCUUCCUGUUCCUCUUUUUCCUAGAGGACUUGAAGACCAUGAAAGUUGCAGGCUCCAGAGGACAAGGCUAGGAGAGCUGGUGCCGGGAGCCAGGUGGUUGCUCUGCAGCCCGGUGUGAGCAAGUUCUGUGGUGAACUGUAGAGCACACUCCUCACCCCUAAAUGUUCCUACUGGCCACGGAAAGGAGAGUAGGAACUCUUAGUGAGUGACUUCUCUUCUUGUGGUCUUUGAUCAGACACUGCACUUACAGAGCUUUAAGGAAUUUGCAAAGGUGCUUUCAGGAAGGAAGAAGAGGGAGAGUUCUGUGGUUAUAAAUAGAAAAUCUGCUGCAGAGGCCAAGAGUGAUGGAGGGGAGUCUGUGUAGCUUCACACGCACCUUUAGUCCCAGCACUCUGGAGGCAGAGGCAGGUGGGUCUCAACAGUGAGAAAUCUGCAAUUUGGGUUUCUUUAAAAAACACAAAAAUAUUGCAAGAAUGUCCUUUGAUGUUAAUCCCCUGUAUGGGGAUGAGGUGCUUCAGGCCGUCCACAGCAGCGGACCUUGAUUUGCCUUGAGCACUAGCAGAAGCAUGGUUUUGACAGCUGCAGAUAGUCUCUGUGAUUGUGUGACAUUUGGAACUCUGAGAACUCUUCAGAGGGUAUGUAAACACUAAAGUCCUGAUAGGUAGGGUUGGCAGUUGGUAGUCAUUCAGGGGAUUUGUUAGUAGCUGUGCUCAAAGAAGAAACAAAAAGCAAAGAAAUUAGAUUCAGAUAUCUCUCUCUCUCUCUCUCUCUCUCUCUCUCUCUCUCUCUCUCUCUCUCUCUCUCUCUCUCUCUCUCUCCCUCUCCCCCUCCCUCUCCCCCUCCAUCUCUCUCCCCUCUCCUAUCUAGUGAUAGGGGAUGAAACCAGGGAAAGGAUAAAGGGUGGAAGAAAGAAGAACUCACAAAGUAGCAAAGACCAGCUAAAGAUCUCUGUGAGUUCAAGGUCAUGUAGACAGCCUCUGAGCCUCUCUGUCUCUCUGUAAUUCUCUCUGUCUCUCUCUGUCUCUCUAUCUGUCUGUCUGUCUGUCUGUCUUUCUCUCUCUCUCUCUCUCUCUCUCACACACACACACACACACACACACACAGAGAUGUGUAUACUCAUAGCACCACCAAAAUGCCAGGAUACAUUCAGUCAUUGCUUAAUGUAGGGAAAGAAGCCACGGUGCGACAACAGUGCUGAGGUAGUCCAGGUUCAAAUGAGCCCUAAAAACAGUAUCUAAUAUCUUUGCAUCAUCUUGUCCACUAACAACACUGAAGGUCUUGCAGGCUUCUGCUGGUGCCCCAUUCCUCUGACAAUGAUGUCUUGCUCUAUCUGGGACAGGAGUGAUGGACUGUUAAGUCAGUAAGUUCCUCGCUCCCAGUUAAUUCAGGGGUUUUAGAAACUACUUAUAUUCUACAUGAAACCUUUCUAUAUAUUUGAAAUUCUUAAAUUACAUUCCUACAAAUAUUGAGCAUUCACAGAGCCAGGUAAAUCACAGUCUCUAGGGAAGGUACCAAAGCUUCAGUAGCUGCAGAAGUUCAGAAGUGACUCUGUUGUAAGCCUGGACUACUGGAACCACUGGCCUGUUUUCAAAAAUCGCCCCUGAACUAGCAGGGUGGGAAUCUGUGGGACACUCUUGAGUAUUGGAUAUUUGAGUAAUUGAUGCUUAUGAAGUGAGUGGAGUGACCAGCCUUGAUGUUUGGAGGCACCCAGUUAAGCCACGUUAACUUUAAUUUACAUACCCUUAAGAGGUAGGCAGGGAUACGUCUCAGGCUAGUUCUCUCAUGGGAGUGUGAUAAGGGACUCUAUGAAAGCAGGGGAGACCACAUGCUUUUGAAAUAACACUGGGAAGGAAGCACCCUGGCUUCCUUGGAGCAUCUUCGGGAGGAUUUUAUCUAAAGGUGCCUGCGAGCUGCUGGGCUUUCUAAUUAAACCAGAUGGACUGGGUGAUAGCUGAUUAGAUUCCUGACUUACAGAUCCUCCUCCUAUUUAUUCGCAUCAACAUGUUGAUGAGGCAGACGCCAUCUCAUUCAGGAGAAGCACCUCACCGCAUAUUUUGAGAAAAUUAAACUUUUAUGGAUGACCCAUUCUGGAAACUGCUCAAAUGCCGGAGUCUGUUUCCCACAGCACCUGGAUGGGUGAGCUUUCAGCAGGGGCACCAUGAAUGAAUGGCAGUCUGCUGGUGUGUGCCAAAACAACAGCAACAGCAAAUUACAGGCCAUCCAUCACUUGGAUGGAAAGGAAAAUGUCAUGAAGAUAGACCCGAGAAGGCUCGGGAGAACUUCUACAGCCCCUCCAUCUCACCUGUUUCCAUUGGCUGGGGUCGUAUCAUAUUAUAGAUACCAACUCCAAAUUCACUUUGCUUUCUUGAUUGGCAAGAUUUGGGGGAGGGUAGGGUGAAGGGUGAUUAAAUAGAUGCUCAAGGAAACAAUUUUAAAAUAGUCUGGGGACUGGAGAGAUGGCUCAGUGAUGAAAAGCGGAUCCUGCCUUUUCAGAGGACCUGAGUUUGGUUCCCAGCACUCACACUAGAAGCUCACUGGAACCUGUAGCUCUAGCUCCAAAGGAUCUAAUGCUCUCUUAUGACCGCUGUGCAGGCAUCUGAAUAAUUAAAAACAAAUAAAAUAGAAAAAUAGAAGCUAUGGGCAGUCCAUGGCUUUCGGGUGAGGGAGAUUCAAUUUUUUGUUAAGACUGUGGCUCCUGGUGGGCCAGCCAUGAUUUAGUGGAAGCCUCCACAUGCAAGAAUACAUGGGCUGCACAAAUUGGAGUAACAGAACACAAAGACAGUGAAGGGAUAGAAAGUAGAGGUAGAUCAUAGAGGAGUGGGGGAAGUGAAUAUGAUCAAAGUACAUUAUAUGAAAUUCUGGGAGAAUUAAUAAAAUAUUAAAACCCAAAAUAAUUAAAUAAAAAUACUCCAAAAAUGUACCUAAAUUACAUGCUAUAAACAUAACUACAUCUGUUCAUGCAGAUAUAUGUGUAUUUGUGUAUGUGUUUCUUUGUACAUAUGUAUGCAUUUGGGUGUAUGUGUGACACACACACUUAUAUGCACAAGCACAUGCACAGAAUAAAGAGGUGCAAAUGCAUAGCUAUGACCUUCUGCAAUGAGUGUAUUGAGAGAUUUUUAGUCUGAGUUUCUGCUGGCCACCAGAACUUGUAUCCAUAUCCUGCUGAAAAUAGGGAACUGGUCCAAAUUGGGUCCACAGAGAAUCAUUUUGUGGGAUGUACUGCCCUAGGGUCUCUCCGGGAUAAAUCUGCUGAGAUGGGGGAAAGAAUGGAGUGUCCUACAGAUUUAAUGCUGAGUUUGUGGCUCUGCAGAGUCGCUGGCCCAUGGAGAGGGCACAAGCUUCAGCUCCCAGUCGCUCAGGUUAGCUUUGACUCUGAAAACUGAUGCUGAACUGGACUCCCUCGAUUGGCUGAGCCAUGCAGCCAGAACUCCAUUUGAUUCUAUUUAAAUAGUGCCUUUGACUGCCUGCUGGAUGGCCAUCGUGUGUUCACAUUUCUGGCUGAUGAACAUGGCUAGAAUGCAUUAGGUCAGGAAAGUGUCAUCCCUGUUUUGAAAUGCAAGGCAGGUCUCUGGAUGGCGGGAGAGGUGUCAACCCAGCCAUCAGGUAACUUCCUAGUUGUUUCUUUAUCCUGUAAUACUUGGUCCCUUCCUGGCAUGUGCCAUAUGCUGCUGGAUAAUGUUCUGGAUGAAGACAGUGGUUCAUAAGGAAGGUCCUCUUUUUCUUGGUGCCUCUGUUUUUUAAAUGUUAAGUAAAUUAAUUAUUCAGUUUUGUGAAAAUAGAAAUUAUUAACUUUUGUGGGUCUGGUCAUAGCUGAUGGGAUAAGAUCCUUCUGAAAAUGUCACCUGUGUAGAUUACUGUUAUAAGGGUGAAUUGUGACCCCUUAGGGUCCAUUUGUGAAUCUGAAACCUCAGGCCUCAAGAUGCAACCACAGUUAGAGAUUAGAUUCUGACUUUCAUUUUUAAUUUCGUAUAUUUGUGUGGUAUGCAUGUACGCAUGUAUGUGUAUGUGUGUUUAUCCUCACAGAUGACCAAAGUUGAUGUCGGGUACCUUCUUGAUUCCUUUUCACUUUAUUGACUAAUUAUUGCUAACUGUAGCUUGCUAUCCCAGCCAGUCUAUCUAGCCAGCUCGAUCCAGAGAUUCCAUGGCUCUGCCUCCUGAGGACCGUGGGGACGGACGGCUGCCAGACUUUAUAUGGUUUCUGAGGAUCUGAACUCUGGUCCUCAGGUUUGGAUAGCAAUCACUUUAUCCACGGUACCAUCUCUCUAGCUCUAAAGAGGUAGUGAAAUUAAAAUGAAGCAAGUGACAUGGAUGUGACUGAUGGCCCUGUAAGAAAAGAGAAUAAGAACACAGAUAUGCUCAGAGCACAGACAUUGUUAGAAGACAAUGAGCCAGCCCCGCCCGCCAGGCCCUUCCUUCCCAAGUUUCCGAUGUGAGGGGGAGCUCAUGUCUGACUUCCAGUUUUCAGAGCUAAGAGACGAUACAUUUCUUAUCCUUAACCCGCCCAGGCUGGGGUAAUCUGAGACAGCAGUCCUGGCAAAACAAUGCCUAUGUAGGAGUCUAUGUGUCUGCAUUAUUUACACAUUUAUUAAAUGCCGUCUUGUGGCUGGAUUAGCCUUGCUGGGGAGUGAGUAGUUAAACCAGAGCUGUGAGAUAGGGCGGUUGGCCAGGUUUUGAGGUGGGAAGGAGGAGGACAUGAUGAAUGUUUACAGAGAGAAAGGUGGGAGGGAAGGAAGAGGAAGAAGGAAAGGGAAGAAAGUGGAGCUUGGGAGGGGAAAAAAUAGCUCUUGGAAGCAGAGAACUCAGGAUAGAAUUCUCUCCUUGCAUCUUAAUAACUUCAUCAGGGUGAAGAAGCCUCUGCCCUCCCCAGAGGACUGCUUCUCCUUGAUGUCAUGUUGAUUGAAUUGUCUUGUUUUACAAAGAAACAAACGGCUUCAUGUUAGGCUGAUUCUCCUUUCGCUCAGAUGUACUAAAGGCUUCAAGGGAAGGGCUCCUUGUAAUUACACACUCUGGCAUUUCCUUAAUGCUGGGAUUUAGAGUUUUAAGCCCAGUGGGCAGAGACCAUUACUAAUUUGACAUCUGGCCUUGUGCCCUGACCGCUGAUGGCUCUGGAGACAGCAUCAGAAAUCCGGGUAGGUGGUGAGAGAAAUCACAGAGAUGAACAGGGGAUGCGGCUCCAUUCCUGUCCUGUGAGUGGGAUGAUCUGCGACAGAGUGUUGAAAACUGAAGCUGAGACGGAAGGGUGGGGUAUGAUCUCAAAGAUGCAGAGUAAGCAUUGUAGGCAUCUGCGGGUGACAGGGUACACUGCUGGGGUUCCGAAGGCGUGACUAUUGUCACAGGACAUGAGUCCCAGGAUGCACUAGUCUCAUUGACCUGCAAAGGCCUUUAUCAGGGUAGAUCUGAUAUAUGUAAUACUUUAUGUGGGGAAAUAUGUACAGUGUGUAUACACACACACACACACACACACACACACAGGAGAUUCAUGCUUGUAUGGAGGCCAGAGGUGGACAUCAGUGUACCCCAGCCCCCAGGAAUUUACUGUGUUUAUUUUGUCUGAGACCUAGGAACUGAAUCCAAGGCCUCACACAUGUUAUGCAAAUGUUCCGCUGAGCUACACCCCCAACCUGCUUGUUGGUCUUUAUUUUUAUGUGAUGGGGUCUCACCAUGUUGCCCAGGCUGGUCUGAACUUUCCACUGGUCUCCCGUGUAGCUUGGAUUUCAAACCAGACCCACAAAGUCUGGCUCCUGCUAGCCAUUUCAUUUUCAUUUUCCUCCUGAGGACUCAGACGUGAGUCCACAGAGAACGGGAUAAAACAUUGGAAUGAUUUCCUCUCCCUAAAUUCUGACCCCAGUCCUCUCCCCAUAGUGACACCAGGAUCGUCCCCUAGAGCCUCCUCAGAUGGGACUUCCUUUUAUACUUCCUCCAUGCUCAGAAGAGUUCCAGUUAGACUCAAGUCAGCUCCCUACUUGGGAAAGAGCAGGUGAUCCCAUGCUAUCCCCUUUGAUUCGCACUGACACCUCAGACAAGUAGCCAUACUAAUAUUUGCUCUACAAGAAACCCCAGAGCCCUGGAAAACCUUCGUCAGAGGAGGAAGGACACAGAGGGACUGAAGUCACUCAGACGUCUCUUGGAAGCCAACUGUACUGCAGACUAGCUUUGCAGCCAUAGGAAAGUUGCUAAAAACUUGUUGGCUCUGCUUUCCCAGUCCCUGAAGUGAGGUAAUUCUGUUUUUCAAGGGAGAGGGGUGUAUCAUAGACUAUUGGUAGUGAAAAUAUGGAACAAGGGGAGAGAGCGCUACUUUCAAAUAGGUGCUAAUCCCACUUCGCUCUUGCCUCUCCAGUCAGUCCUUCAAGUGAAGAGUAAGUAGUCAUUUGAUACUAGUCUUUGACCUUAAGCCACUCACUGAUGAACCUUCCCCUUUACUGACCUGGCCAAGUGGGCCCAGUCAAAGGAUCUUGUUACAGGAGAGAUGGAGCUAAGUACCUCCUUGCUGCUAACCAAGGCUGAGACCCACACCUGUCUGCCAGUCUCUCCAGCAAGAAGUCAUAAUGAUCAAAUUGCAUUAUUGCUGCUGGGUUUUGUAGCCUGUACAGCAUGUUAACAUCAACACGGAGAUGGUAUCAGAGGGCACUUUGGGUAACUUGGAGGAAGAGGAGGAAGAGGAGGAGGAGGAGGAGGAGCCAGAGCAGACCACACUAGGAACAGAGGAAUGGGAAGGAAUCCAACCAAACAGUACUGCAAGCCUGCCACCUCCCAGGAAGCUGGCAGUCCAAACCUUGAGUGAUACUGGCUUCCUUCCCACUGCCAGCCAGAAGUGGCUAUGGAUUGCAGGUUCACAGGGGAGUAUUAUGAACCUCUUUAGAUACCUUCCAAAUGAAACCAUUUUCAAUCAUGUACCUCCACAGUCACACCUUCAUUCUUCUUCAUGGCUGAUAUUUUUUGUUGCUGUUGUGUUUGGACAGGGUCUCGGGUGACCCAGGCUUGCCUCAAACUUGCGAUUUAUGAAUAUGAUCCAACUACCUCCACUUCCUAAGUUCUAGGAUUACAGAUGUAAACUAUCACCCCUGGUUUGUGUAGACUUGGGAAAUAGCCCAACACUUCUGCAUGCUGAGUAAGCACGCCCUAACUGAGCUACAUCCUCAGCCCAUAGGUGAUAUUUCUGUAUAAUCUCUUAUGCCCCACACUUCUGUCACAAUUCAGAAAUGGCUGCUCCAUUACUCCAGAUCCUAUGUCAGACCAUUGUAGUCUAGAUUCUAACUCCCGUGUCCCAUUGCAGUUUAGAAUACAGACUUUAGAAUGAGCCACUACCCAUCUACUGACUGUACAAUCUGGGGGCAAGCCAUUGAACCCAUGGAAGCUUCCACUUCUUCAGAAUGGGAGUAGGGCAUCACCGGGUUUGUCUUGGAGCUUGGAAAGUUGAGGUCCUGAGUGACAUGCAUCUGAGCCUCUGGAUCAAAGAAUGACUACAACUGAUGUCAGACAAGUGGGAACGCGAAGCCCAUUCAUAGCCAAGACACUCGCUGGAAGAAGCUUUGGCUUCCUUCACAUCUUGGGUCCCUUCAUAUCUAGGGCCAAAGUAGCCAUGGACUUACCUUUGUGACAAGAUAAAAAGAAUUGUUUUUUAGUCUAUCAUUAUACCUUGGAGAAAUAAACACUUUUUUUCAAUACUUAUAGAUCUUUUACAUUUUCUUCUCAUAUUAAUGUAACCCAUAUUGCUCUCUUUCUGGCUACUCUUGCCUCAGCCUUUCCAGUGCCAAGAUUAUACAUGUAUGCCACCACACUUGGUUGUUUCCUUGUUGAAUCUGACUUCAAGCAUCUACCUUGUCUGUGGCUUCCAUGUAGGGAGCCAUAGAUGUAAGAUCAAACUCUCCCAUGAACAUGUUAUGAUGAUGUUUCUGGCCCAGUGCAGGGCACUGUAGCAGCAAGUUAUGCAAAUCAUUUGUCUGGUCUUUGAGUUCAUGUGUCCGUCAGUCCAUUUAGAAUUCACACAUGAAUAUUAGCAUGGCACAGCAUGGGAGAAGAAAUGGGACUCAGGGGAGGUAUAGCAGAGUCCAGGGCAGGAAUACCAAGGACUCUGAGAAUACACUUCCUGAAGGAAAUGGGAUUUGUGUGCAACACUGAAGGAAUGAUCACAUAGAGGAAGAAGAAGAUGAGUAAAACCUCUGUAAAGGGGCUCUUAGGGAUGGAGACUCAAGACAGAUGGCCUUGGCUGCUGUCCCAGCUUUGCUAAUUCCCAACAAUCUCUGUGAUCUUGGGCAAAUCACUACCCUCUUGUCCUCCAGUUUCCCCAGUAGUAAACUGGGAAAGAACAAUAGUAUCUGUCUGAUAGAUUGCUCCAAAGCUGCGUCAAACAUGUGCUGCAAGACACACAGCUAAAAAAGCAACGUCAUUACUGUGGUGGAGAGCACAAAGAAGUCAAAGAGUAGAACCUUCUAGAAUGAAGAGGCUGCACUGAAAGCUAGAAGGCAUACAGGGAUUCCAGCCAUUGGGCAGUCAUAUGAAACUGCCAGAUAAGACUGCCGUUGGUGAAGCAGGAAAGAUGGGAUUGUUUUCUAAGGGUGAGAUGUGUAAAUAUAGCCAUUCUAUUGCUAUGUUAAAACACCAUGGCCAAAGCAACCUAUAAAAGAAAGCAUUGAAUUGGGCUUUCAUUUUCAGAGGGUUAGAGUCAACAAUGGCAGAGCAAAGGCACGGUGGCAGGAAGAACUGAGGGCUCUUAUCUAGAUCCACAAGUGGGAAGCAGAGAGGGGAGAUCACACUGUGAAUGGAGUGAGUCUUUUAGAAUAGCAAACCCUGCUCCCAGUUGCAUAUCUCCUUCAGUCCCACAGAUUCUAAUCCUUCUCAAACAGUUCCACCAAUUGGGGAACAAGUAUUCAAAUAUGAGCCCAUGGAGGCUAUUUUCCUUUGAACCAUCAUACAAGGCUAUAAUAAUAAUAAUAAUAAAUGGAUUUUAAGGGAAAAUUUGUAUAGUAGCCAUUCUUCUCUUGGUUCCCUCAAUCUCCAUUUCCUGCCCACAAAAUAGGCAGCCAUCUAACUAGUUAUUCCAAUGGAGCAAAGUCUAUCUAUCUAUCUAUCUAUCUAUCUAUCUAUCUAUCUAUCUAUCCAUCCAUCCAUUUAUUUGAUAUGGGGUCUCAACUAGGAAAUAUCCAUCUGAUAGAAUGAUUCAAACAGUUCUUGCAAGACAUGUAGGUAGCUGCUCUCUACAGAGCAAUACCAUUAGUCUGGAACUCUUUAUGUAGCUCUGGCUCACCUUGAACUCACAGAGAUUCCCCUGCCUCUGCCUCCCUCCUGAGUGCUGGGAUUUAAGGUAAAUUCUGAGAAUGUAUUUCAUUUUUAAUUAGAUGGGCAAGUGUGUGAUGGAGAUGGUGGAUACUUAGUGUGUAGUGGCAUCCCCCACUCUUUACUAAGAGGAGUACCCAGCCGUGGGGCUAGCCCCAAGAGGAUGGGUAAAGUAAUUGGUUCCUUUCAUUGCUCUAGAAAAGGAGGACCGGGAGCAUCAUGCUCUACACCUGUAUUGGCUACAAGCCAAUGAAUUUAUCUCGAAUGUGUUUCUAUAGACCAGGAAGGGAAUGGAGAUUUCCCUAUCUUUUUUUUUUUUUUUUUUUUUUUUUUUUUGGUUUUUCGAGACAGGGUUUCUCUGUAUAGCCCUGGCUGUCCUGGAACUCACUUUGUAGACCAGGCUGGCCUCGAACUCAGAAAUCCACCUGCCUCUGCCUCCCAAGUGCUGGGAUUAAAGGCGUGCGCCACCACGCCCGGCCGGGAAUGGAGAUUUCAUAGGUUCUUAAUAGUGGUUGGUGGGAGGUAAGGUCAGUUAGAUGAACAAAUUGGAAAGAAUUGUCUACAACGCCAGGCAUUUCUCAGCUUCAGGCAUUUCUCUGCUCAUCUCCCUUCACUUAGGAGAUCUUUGGAGGACAUUUUUACAUUCUUUUACUGGUUAGGGAAAGUGUGGCUCUUCUCAAAUGGACCUUGCAACUCAGCCAGUCCUCAGCAGAGGGAAGCUGAAGUAUUGAUGACAGAGUUGUUAAAGAGUGUGUUUAACAAACACAACAGUUCCUGCACCAACCUGCAUGGUAAGAUGAGCCCCUUUGCCGAAGCAUUAUGGGAUGGGAUAGCAGGAGGAACCUUUACCAUGACUUUAUCCUCUGUUCCUUAAAAUGUGUUCUACUAGUUCCCCAAGAUGCUUAAAGGCGUUACAAGUCAUGGUCCACCCAACGUAGAAGUGAUGGUUUGAAGAAUACUGACAAGUCUGUCUGGAUUUUUUGGUCUUUAAUAUGCUGUCAUCAGCACCGUGGCAGUUCAGAAAAGGGAUUAAUUAUAAAUUGUAUGGGACAAGAUACAGUAUUGUUUAUUUUUUAACAUUUUUAUAUUAAGGCUUGUGGCAACACAGGUAUUCUGUGGAGGUCUAGGCCCUUACUGUAUAGCUAAAACACAUGGGACAAAGGCACUGGGGUUCAAGGUUAGACUGGAGCUGCCCCAAGCCAUUCUUUCAGAACUCCAGAGUUCACCUCAUAGAGGCUGUGGCACCGUUUAACUUAACUAUGGUUGGAUGUUUCAUGGUAAUGAUUUAUUUUUAUUUUUUAUUUAUUUAUUUUUUUGCAUCUGACCUCUUUGGAUCAGCCUAUCUCUUUGUUAUUCUUCUUGUUAUACAAAGCCAUGUGACUUUGGAAUAUGUAAUGUAUUUAAUAUACUACGACCUCUGUCCAGUAGAGUAAAAGGAAGAGAAAAUGGUCUCUGUCCCUUUUUAUGUUAUACAAUUUGUCCUGUAGAAAUGACUUCCAUGCAAAAUUGGAAUUCUGAUUUUUGCAAUCUCAAUGAUUCCAUACAAAGGACUGAGAAGGUGGCUUUGUUAGUAAAAUACUUGCAUUGCUUUGCAAAUAUGGGAACCUGAGUUUGUUGGAUCUCCAGAACCUAUGUGAUUUAAAAAAAAAAAGGGUGUUGUGGUGCAUGCCUGUGUCAGCCCUGGGCAGCAGCAGACAGAGGGUUCCUAGGGUCAUUGGCUAGCUAACCUCCCCUAAUCAAUGAGUUUCAGGCCAGGGAGAAACACUGUCUGGAAGGAAGGGAGGAAGGGAGGGGUAAAGGAGAAAGAAAACAAACAAACAAGCAAACAAGGAGUUAGAGAGAUGGCUCAGUGCUUAAGAGCUUUAGCUUCUCUUGCAGAGAACUUGGUUCAGUUCCCAACACCUUCAUGAUUCUUCACAACUGUCUGUAUUUCAAGUUCCAGAUGAUCCAAAACCUUCUUGGUCCCCUUGGGGACCACACACAUUCAGUACACAAACACAUAUACAGCCCCUCACACAUAAACAGGAACACUUUUAAUCUUAAAAAAAAGUUAGGAUGAUUAUGACUGAGGAGUGAUAGCUGAGUUUGUAUUCUGGCCCACAGAGCCGAGUUUGUAUGUUUGCACCCACAUGUACACAAGAUCUCCAUGUGUUAUUGGCCUGGGAAUGCAUCCAUAGGGCCUAUGGGUGAGGCAAAUAUCAGUAAACAUAUUUACAGGUGUAGGUGAUAUUUGAAGAAUUUUGAUGUUCUUGUUGGAAGGUUAUUGGGAGCUUUGAUUCUUAGCUCCCUAGUUUAAAAGCACCAGGGCUGUUUUAUCUCUGAGCUCUGUCGCUAUUCAAAUCUGCUAAGUGGAGAUCUAGCUGGUGUCAUAGCCUGGCUCACAAUCGGGAACCUUCCCCUUACAAUAUGUUCCAAAUAAUGCACUCUGUGAACAGUAGACAAGUUUUUCCCAAUGAUAGCUCUGGCCGCCAUGAUUACUUAUGCACAAUUUUCUGCAUAAGCAUUUUAAAUAUGCUUUUUUGUCCUUAUUUAUUCCUCACAAAUACAACAAACAACUGCUAAGUCUUAAUCAACUGGCCUGGAGUAAGAUAAAUUGUUUCUGUGUGCCUCCGUUUCCUCAUUGGUAAGAUAAGGAUGGCAUUCUAGGAUAUUUGGGAAUUCCCAGAGUGGAUGGGAACAUUUGGAAUAAUGGAUUGAGCUAGCCUAUAAAGGGCCUCUUAAGCAUUUCCCAGUUGAUAUUUACUGCUAGAGGCAAAGUUUCUAUUAGGUCCCAUAUUGCAGACUGCUCACCUUGCUCCUUCUCCACCAGCUGGCCAAACCAACUAGGUCAUAAAUAAUGUUGUGGAGGGUCUUGGUGUUUGGUAGAGAGGUGAUAUGCUGAAUCAGGUUCUGACUCCUGAAUGACUCUGCAGGGAAGUUUCUCAUCCAGAUGAAAUGGGAUGUGGUCUUGUAUGUACACAGGGCUCGGGCAAUUUGAGUCUGCUGUUUAAUCUGCCAUGGACAUCCUUUGUGUGAAGCCUCUGCUAUCACCAUUUAGGAGCAUUAAUAUUUAUCAAACAUCGCCUGUAAUGAGAUGUGAGCCUUUGCCUACCGGAAUUCUAGCUUAGAUAUUUAGAUUUGCGUGUUUCCAUAGUCAGGCUACUGAAUAAUUUAUUAAUCAUGUUGGAGAAAUAAAGUAGAUGGAUGAUGUCAAGGAGUUGUUGAAAACGGAUUUUUCUUUCUUUUUCACAGAGUCCUGGACUAGGAGGGGUGUUGUGGUUUGCGUGUGCAAUGUCCUGCAUGGGCUCACAUCUUUGAACACUUGACCAAGUGCUGAUACUGUUUGAUAGGGUAUAGAACAUUGGGGCCAGGGGAGUGGCUGUCAGCAGGACACCGCUAGAGGUGGGCUUGAGGGCACCUAGCUUCACUUUCAAUCCCCUGUCUGCCUCCUGACAUCACUUAAACAAGCAGCAGUCAUGUGUCCUGCUAUAACCUCCUUGCUAUGAUAGACUCUUAUCUCUGAAACUGAGCCAAAAGAAACCUCUCUUUGCUUGGUUUUCUUUUUUCUUUCAAGUAUUCUGUCAUAGCAGUGGGGAACAUAACUGCCUUAAUUAGGGUUGUAUUGCUGUGAAGAGACACCAGGACCACUGCAACUCAUAUAAAGAAGACCUUUUAAUUGGGGCUGGCUUAAGGAUUCAGAGGUUUAGUCCAUCAAGGUCAUGAUGGGAAACAUGGCCAAGCACAGUAAACAUGGUGCUGGAGAAGGAGCUGAGAGUUCUAUGUCUUAAUCUGCAGGCAGCAGCAGGAGACUGUCCCACUGGGCAUAGAUUGAGCACAUAUGAUUUCAAAUCCCAUCGCCACAGUGACACACUUCCUCCAACAAGGCCACACCCACUCCAACAAAGGCUCACCCCCUGAUAGUGCCACUCCCUAUGGGCCAAGUAUUCAAAUACAUGAGUCUGUAGAGCCAUUCCUCUUCAUACCACCACAGUAGCUAAUACAGGAUAGUGCUGGGGUGGACUUUUGAGGCAAAUAUAUUUCAUGGCUCUGUUUGAAUACUAAUCGUCCUUUACAUAAUAAAUAUUUUUUUACCCCUUAAGGGUAAGAUUAGGCGUCCCUUUGCUCCCCUUGGUCUCUUUCCCUUGAAGCACUGAGCUCUUGGCUUGCCUGCCUCUCAACCACCAUAGGUCCCUUAGUCUAGAAUUACCAGUGUGACUUGUUCCCCUCACUGAAGCAGAGUGUCUGUCACAUAGUAGGUCUUCCAUAAGGAUCUGUCGCACAGAAGGUCUUCCAUAAUCUACUUACAGGAAUGAAAUUAAAUGCUGGGCCCCUAGGCCUCAUGUUGCCUUAUGCAGCCACAGAGGUGCACCAUGUGGUGCGACUCAGGGAAUCAGCUAAUGAGGCCUCCUGCUUCCCGGAGCUCUUCCGUGCAGAAGAGAGAUGACAGCGACAAUGGAGUCCUCACCUGCCUUGCUUGGCAAUGUUCCUAAAUGCGGCUGUUGAGACAAUGUUAGUCUUUUCUCUGCACUGCCAGUGUGAGCUGAAUUCACAUUUUUUUUAAAGGCACUCUUGUAGCCCCCACAAUCUAUUUCGGUCUAUUGCUGUAAUUGGCACAUUAUAAUAAUGCCUGCUUGAAUUUGUAUCACUGUACAGUCAUUGCUCACUCUACAUAUCUGUCUCUCCCACUCUCCUGAUCGUUUCUGACUCACUUCUGUUUAGCGCACUGCCUGACACGGUGGAGGCACGCUGCCAACAGGGUAUGGAUCAAUGAGGGUGUGCAUGCGUGAAUGGCGGCAUGGGUGAGCUAUGUGAUGCUUGCCCCCCACUCCCCCUGCCCCCGCCCCAGCACUCCCACAGCUGCACUGAGAAGCAGAUAGAACCGGAAUUAUGAUCCCAUUUCACAGGUGUACAAACUGGCCCGUCAGGAAAGUUGGAGAACUUGCUCACGACUUCAAAGUUCAUAGAGAACAGAACCAGGACUCACACUCACACCCCUCAGAGCUUGCGCUGUGUCCCUAACUCAUAGUUACUGCUCUGGUUUAAAGUAGACUAGAUAAAACUUAGAUAAUUAAAGGGACGUGAGACCCAUUGAGUCAUUCUGUCCAGUGCAGCAUUUAAAAAUGUCAGCUACUAUUUUUUCUAAAAAAAAAAAAAAAAAAAA